CUGAUGGAGAAUUAAUAACAAUACUGGAUGG
rnacentral:piRNA from 1 species